rnacentral:rRNA from 1 species
UACGUAGGGGGCGAGCGUUGUCCGGAUUUAUUGGGCGUAAAGAGCUCGUAGGCGGCUUGUCGCGUCGUCCGUGAAAACCUGCAGCUCAACUGCAGGCUUGCGGGCGAUACGGGCAGGCUAGAGUUCGGUAGGGGAGACUGGAAUUCCUGGUGUAGCGGUGAAAUGCGCAGAUAUCAGGAAGAACACCCGUGGCGAAGGCGGCUCUCUGGGACGGUACUGACGCUGAGACGCGAAAGCGUGGGGAGCGAACAGG